rnacentral:rRNA from 1 species
GUAACAGGCACUGGAGGACCGAACCCACUGUCUUUGAAAAGCCAGGGGAUGACUUGUGGAUAGGGGUGAAAGGCUAAUCAAACUCGGUGAUAGCUGGUUCUCCCCGAAAGCUAUUUAGGUAGCGCCUCGGACGAACACCAUUGGGGGUAGAGCACUGUUUCGGCUAGGGGGUCAUCCCGACUUACCAAACCGAUGCAAACUCCGAAUACCUACAAGUGCCGAGCAUGGGAGACACACGGCGGGUGCUAACGUCCGUCGUGAAGAGGGAAACAACCCAGACCGCCAGCUAAGGUCCCAAAAUCACAGUUAAGAGGGAAA